AGCGAACGCUGGCGGCAGGCUUAACACAUGCAAGUCGAGCGGGCACUUCGGUGUCAGCGGCAGACGGGUGAGUAACACGUGGGAACGUACCCUUUGGUUCGGAAUAACGCGGGGAAACUAGCGCUAAUACCGGAUACGCCCUUGUGGGGAAAGGCUUGCUGCCGAAGGAUCGGCCCGCGUCUGAUUAGCUAGUUGGUGGGGUAAUGGCCUACCAAGGCGACGAUCAGUAGCUGGUCUGCGAGGAUGAUCAGCCACACUGGGACUGAGACACGGCCCAGACUCCUACGGGAGGCAGCAGUGGGGAAUAUUGGACAACGGGCGCAAGCCUGAUCCAGCCAUGCCGCGUGAGUGAUGAAGGCCUUAGGGUUGUAAAGCUCGUUUGUCCGGGACGAUAAUGACGUUACCGGAAGAAUAAGCCCCGGCUAACUUCGUG
rnacentral:rRNA from 1 species